UUCAAAGUUCAAGUGGUGACUAGAUACAAAUAAUCUGAGAACAAGUAAUAACAUAAUCAUGCAUCAAUCAAUAAUAAAUUUUCGGACUAUGCACAUUGUACUCAUAAUGACAACUAUGCUCUUUUAAUUGGUGCAUAAAGUUAGAAGAUGAAGACUCAACAUAAAAGUAAAAGAAAGGCCCUUCGUAGAGGGAAGCAGGGAUUACUCAUGUGCUAGAGCUUUUAGAGAUUUUUA
rnacentral:lncRNA from 1 species